rnacentral:rRNA from 1 species
GACGAACGCUGGCGGCGUGCCUAAUACAUGCAAGUAGAACGCUGAAGCUUGGUGCUUGCACCGAGCGGAUGAGUUGCGAACGGGUGAGUAACGCGUAGGUAACCUGCCUGGUAGCGGGGGAUAACUAUUGGAAACGAUAGCUAAUACCGCAUAAGAGUAGAUGUUGCAUGACAUUUGCUUAAAAGGUGCAAUUGCAUCACUACCAGAUGGACCUGCGUUGUAUUAGCUAGUUGGUGGGGUAACGGCUCACCAAGGCGACGAUACAUAGCCGACCUGAGAGGGUGAUCGGCCACACUGGGACCGAGACACGGCCCAGACUCCUACGGGAGGCAGCAGUAGGGAAUCUUCGGCAAUGGACGGAAGUCUGACCGAGCAACGCCGCGUGAGUGAAGAAGGUUUUCGGAUCGUAAAGCUCUGUUGUAAGAGAAGAACGAGUGUGAGAGUGGAAAGUUCACACUGUGACGGUAUCUUACCAGAAAGGGACGGCUAACUACGUGCCAGCAGCCGCGGUAAUACGUAGGUCCCGAGCGUUGUCCGGAUUUAUUGGGCGUAAAGCGAGCGCAGGCGGUUAGAUAAGUCUGAAGUUAAAGGCUGUGGCUUAACCAUAGUACGCUUUGGAAACUGUUUAACUUGAGUGCAAGAGGGGAGAGUGGAAUUCCAUGUGUAGCGGUGAAAUGCGUAGAUAUAUGGAGGAACACCGGUGGCGAAAGCGGCUCUCUGGCUUGUAACUGACGCUGAGGCUCGAAAGCGUGGGGAGCAAACAGG